ensembl:lncRNA
CCUUAAACUAUUGAGUGGCUUUGCACCUCCUUUCAGUGACUAUUUCCUUCAAAAAUGGAAGAGUUAAGAGCUUUUUCCUACCUUUUUAGUGUAAAGUCCUAACCCAGUAAGGCUUUUUAAUGUACUAAAUUAUUAAAAUAGACAUUGUGCGCUUUGGACAGAACAACGAAGAUAAAACACCCACAUCCAUAAUAAACUUAUAGCCUAAGUGAACCGCUUUGUUUCAACAAUGUCAAAGUGUAUUAUGGCUAAUGCUGCUGUAUCUUCAGUGCAGGAAUGAUUCAUACUUAACUUCAAUGACUCAUAAAAUACAUUCGAGUAAAUGAUUGGCAAUUUAAGUCACAGAGCAGAAGCAGGUCAGAUUAGAAAAGAAGACAGAGAGGGAUCGGAACAGUUUCUCGUAUCAGUGCAUAACUCGUAGACUACUACUGUAGUAGAUUUAUAUAUGUAUUAGUUUGGCAGGUUAAUGCAGGUAGUUUUGGUUGUUGGUUGUUUUCAGGCAGCUAACAAAAUGAAUAUUUCAUGCUGCACAGCUGUACUGAGGAAACACAUGUGGUAGGCGGGCGCAGAGAGAGAGUGUGUGUGUGUGUGUGUGUGUGUGUGUGGUGAUGUGAUCUACUGUGUGUUUGUCUAUAGUCUGUCAGUCGCGCUGUUUGCAGUGACCAACCAUCAGUGUAGCAUGAAACGAUGCCACACCACCUAAAACUCCGGAAUACCCUUCGUCAUCUACAUAUGAACACUACCCAGAAGAUCGUCUACCCUGACGGACGCUUAUACAGACCGAAAGGAGGGAGCCAAGGCUACCCAAACACAAACGGUCUGACCGCACCGGGCAGGACUCCAAGACCCCCAUCACGCUCCGAUGAAGAGCACUAAACAAAUAGUGCCAUCCUAGUGCCCCCGUCACAAACUCCACUGAGACAUGCAUUUCCAAAGAAAAAGAACAAAGAGUUCAAACAAAGAUAGACACAGGAGUCAAUUCUCAGCACAGUGACACCUUUUAUUGGCCCUUUUGGCUGUGAGUGCAUAGUUUCUGAAAGGCCGAAACAAUUAUUAUUGUGAAUUAGACCAAAUGCCAUUAUCCCAGUUAGGUAUCAAAAACUGGUUAUUUUUCAGAAGAGCAAGGAGCCUCAGUUCAUGUCACGUGUGUCUUUUUAAUAGGCAGGGUCCACAGUGUUAUGAUGACCUCACUGUAGUAAUAAAUCAUGUGUGAGCGUUACA